GCACCCAUGCAUUGUAUCUUCAAUUUUAUUUAGGGAAUGGUUUACUUUUUUUUUGAAGAUAGAUAUUUGUUAAUGAAAAAGAAAAAUAGAGCUAUAGAAUUACUUUUGUUCAUCUAAAUCAAUUCUCUUGAAGUGCUUGAAUGGGAUUAUAGCAUCAAAGAAGAAAAACACAACUGGAAAUUUCACAGAUUUCAUUGGUACCUUUCAAAACCUGACAUUCCCAACAAAUUAUUAAAGUGAAUCCACAAAAUAGCAUUUAAAAAUUUUGCUCUCUCUCUCUCUCUCUCUCUCUCUCUCUCUCUCUCUCUCUCUCUCGAACUGAAUUUUUUCCACAUUACUGUAGAUAUCUUUAUUUAUACUUUAUGUUAGUAAUUAAGUUGAUAUUUCAGUACAGUAUGAUUUUAUCAUUUUCAGUUAUAUGUGAAAUACUUUAUCUAUAGCAAAUGUUAAAAAAAGAAACACAAAUUUAAAAUUUUCAAAAUUGUAGAAAAUACUUUCGAAUCCUGUUAGAAUUGAAGAAAUGUAACAAAUAUUGUUCAGAGGAUUUACAAGCAAAUGUGCUGUAAUUCACAGAAAUUGUUGCAAUUUCCUCUUAAGUGUUUUGUUCCAGAAGUGUGUAAAAUAUGGUACUAUUUAAAAAUACCAAAGUAGAGGGAAUCAGGCAAGAUAAGUGCUCUGAUAUGGAGUUAUUUCCAUCAAUAUUUGAUAAUAUAUUUUCUAUUGUUUAUGUUAUAUGCAUUUGUUAUAUCUAUAUGAAUAAAAAUUAAUGUCCAUG
rnacentral:misc_RNA from 1 species